UACACACUGUAAUAAAUGAAUGUCAACUGUGCACAAAUGUGAUUUUUUGUGUGAGUGGCUAUAAUUGAAACAAUUGUAGUAAAGGUUACAAAAAGGGGUAUUUUGGGAUAAUCUCUCGUGAUUAUUGUGCGUGUUUGUUUGGUAUGUUUUCAUGUUCAUAAUUUCUAAUUGUUUAUCUAUGGAUUUACUUGCUGAGAUUGCGAGAUCUCAUUGUGGUAUUCCCACCUAUGGUUCCGUUUCAUGGAAUUGUAAAUUUUGAUGCAGAGGACGAGUUUGAGCAUGAGGGACCAACCCCACCUGAGGCGUGAUGACCUGGGGUUUACUUCUAUUGUGGUUGAUGGAUUUUUGUUUUAUUUUAUUUUUAAUCAGUUGGAUGACUGUAAUAACCUUAUGUUGGAUUUCUUAUUGGGC